rnacentral:rRNA from 1 species
GAUGAACGCUAGCUACAGGCUUAACACAUGCAAGUCGAGGGGAAACGACAUCGAAAGCUUGCUUUUGAUGGGCGUCGACCGGCGCACGGGUGAGUAACGCGUAUCCAACCUGCCCACCACUUGGGGAUAACCUUGCGAAAGUAAGACUAAUACCCAAUGAUAUCCCACGAAGACAUCUGAAUGGGAUUAAAGAUUUAUCGGUGAUGGAUGGGGAUGCGUCUGAUUAGCUUGUUGGCGGGGUAACGGCCCACCAAGGCAACGAUCAGUAGGGGUUCUGAGAGGAAGGUCCCCUACAUUGGAACUGAGACACGGUCCAAACUCCUACGGGAGGCAGCAGUGAGGAAUAUUGGUCAAUGGGCGAGAGCCUGAACCAGCCAAGUAGCGUGCAGGAAGACGGCCCUAUGGGUUGUAAACUGCUUUUAUAAGGGAAUAAAGUGGGUCACGUGUGACUUUUUGCAUGUACCUUAUGAAUAAGGACCGGCUAAUUCCGUG